AUUGAACGCUGGCGGCAUGCUUUACACAUGCAAGUCGAACGGCAGCACGGGAGCAAUCCUGGUGGCGAGUGGCGAACGGGUGAGUAAUGUAUCGGAACGUACCUUUCAGUGGGGGAUAACGUAGCGAAAGUUACGCUAAUACCGCAUAUUCUGUGAGCAGGAAAGCAGGGGAUCGCAAGACCUUGCGCUGAUUGAGCGGCCGAUAUCAGAUUAGCUAGUUGGUGAGGUAAAGGCUCACCAAGGCGACGAUCUGUAGCGGGUCUGAGAGGAUGAUCCGCCACACUGGAACUGAGACACGGUCCAGACUCCUACGGGAGGCAGCAGUGGGGAAUUUUGGACAAUGGGCGCAAGCCUGAUCUAGCCAUGCCGCGUGAGUGAAGAAGGCCUCGGUUGUAA
rnacentral:rRNA from 1 species